rnacentral:rRNA from 1 species
GACGAACGCUGGCGGCGUGCCUAAUACAUGCAAGUAGAACGCACAGUUUAUACCGUAGCUUGCUACACCAUAGACUGUGAGUUGCGAACGGGUGAGUAACGCGUAGGUAACCUGCCUGGUAGCGGGGGAUAACUAUUGGAAACGAUAGCUAAUACCGCAUAAUAUUGAUUAUUGCAUGAUAAUUGAUUGAAAGAUGCUAUUGCAUCACUACCAGAUGGACCUGCGUUGUAUUAGCUAGUAGGUGAGGUAACGGCUCACCUAGGCGACGAUACAUAGCCGACCUGAGAGGGUGAUCGGCCACACUGGGACUGAGACACGGCCCAGACUCCUACGGGAGGCAGCAGUAGGGAAUCUUCGGCAAUGGACGAAAGUCUGACCGAGCAACGCCGCGUGAGUGAAGAAGGGUUUCGGAUCGUAAAGCUCUGUUGUAAGAGAAGAACGGGUGUGAGAGUGGAAAGUUCACACUGUGACGGUAUCUUACCAGAAAGAGACGGCUAACUACGUG